CGUGGCGGUGGAACUCAGGCAGCUGGCAGUAAGAGUUAUCAUUACAGGGGUCGAACUUACAUCGUCAGGCUUGGCAGCAAGCUCCUUUACCUACUGAGAUACACUGCCAACCCCUGUCUACAUAUAUUCUGUAAUACAGUUAGGACCCUAAUUAAAAGCCGCCCCAGCAAAGGGAAGGGAAAUGAUCAAAAUGUAGAGCCUGUAACUCCAAAUUCUGCUUCUUUGUGCUUUCACAGGAUGAAGUGGGGAGCACGUGUACAUGGGUCGGCCCCUGCUGUCCAUCAAGAUGGACACAAGCUGGGAGCUACUGGACAAAAGGAGCAGGUGACAGAGCAAAGAGAAAGCAAGGAAAUGGGGCAGAAAGAAGGCCCAGGACAGAGGCUACACAGGACAGGAGGUAGUGAUAAGCGAUAUUAAAGAAGUCCGGAGCAAAGAGGGUGGAGAAGGCCCAUCUGGUUCACAUGCUCAGGAAUGACCUCUCUGAAGGCUUUGAACAGGUCUGAAGGAGAAGAUGGAGACCAGUAUUUAGAUUGAAGUAAUGAGAGAUAACGAUGGAGACUUAAAAUGGUUAUGAAAGAGGAGGAGGAGGAGCAGAAGGAAGAAGAAGACGAUAGUGAAAGAGUAAUCCACAUGGGGUUCUUAGGAGCGCGUAGGGCUAAAGCAAGAAGAAAAUCAGCAGGGUGCAAAGAAGAGAUGUGACUCUAUCCAGCUCCAUGAGAAAUCCUGAAAAGUUCUACACUGGGUCUGGGUCACAUCUUUAAAAUUUACUUUCACUGCUCUGUGGAGAAAGAUGACAGAGUCAAGGAGGAGAAGGGGACAGCCACCUUUCAAGUAAACGCCAUUGCUCUGGUCACAUGUGCUUGGCGACUGGGAUCACUAGCCUCUGCCUCUGUGAGCUAAGCAGUCACUGUAUCAAUGCGGAAGUGUUGGCGCUUGGUUGUGAGAGACACAGGAGUGAGAGAAUCAGUUCUAGGAUUUAGCGGUGUCUUGACUAUUUGUGAAAAUGAUGUUACUACACUCCUCAAGCAAAUGGAGUCCCUGCUAAAUCAGUAGCCUAGUUGGC
rnacentral:lncRNA from 1 species